UACGGAGGGGGCAAGCGUUGUUCGGAAUUACUGGGCGUAAAGGGCGCGCAGGCGGCUGCUCAAGUCAGGCGUGAAAGGCCUGGGCUCAACCCGGGAAUUGCGCUUGAGACUGGGCUGCUUGAGUUCGGGAGAGGAGCGUGGAAUUCCCAGUGUAGAGGUGAAAUUCGUAGAUAUUGGGAAGAACACCGGUGGCGAAGGCGGCGCUCUGGACCGAGACUGACGCUGAGGCGCGAAAGCGUGGGGAGCAAACAGG
rnacentral:rRNA from 1 species